UACGAGUGCCUCAAGCGUUAUCCGGAAUCAUUGGGCGUAAAGGGUGUGUAGGUGGUCCUGUUAGUCUCUCGUUAAAUUCUUCGGCUUAACCGGGGGCAUGCGAGGGAAACGGCAGGACUUGAGGGUGCAAGAGGUCGCUGGAACUCUAGGUGUAGCGGUGAAAUGCGUUGAUAUCUAGGGGAACACCAAAUGCGAAGGCAAGCGACUGGGGCACUCCUGACACUGAAACACGAAAGCGUGGGUAGCGAAUGGG
rnacentral:rRNA from 1 species